rnacentral:rRNA from 1 species
GGGACACGUGGUAUCCUGUCUGAAUAUGGGGGGACCAUCCUCCAAGGCUAAAUACUCCUGACUGACCGAUAGUGAACCAGUACCGUGAGGGAAAGGCGAAAAGAACCCCGGCGAGGGGAGUGAAAAAGAACCUGAAACCGUGUACGUACAAGCAGUGGGAGCACCUUCGGGUGUGACUGCGUACCUUUUGUAUAAUGGGUCAGCGACUUAUAUUCUGUAGCAAGGUUAACCGUAUAGGGGAGCCGCAGGGAAACCGAGUCUUAACUGGGCGUUAAGUUGCAGGGUAUAGACCCGAAACCCGGUGAUCUAGCCAUGGGCAGGUUGAAGGUUGGGUAACACUAACUGGAGGACCGAACCGACUAAUGUUGAAAAAUUAGCGGAUGACUUGUGGCUGGGGGUGAAAGGCCAAUCAAACCGGGAGAUAGCUGGUUCUCCCCGAAAGCUAUUUAGGUAGCGCCUCGUGAACUCAUCUUCGGGGGUAGAGCACUGUUUCGGCUAGGGGGUCAUCCCGACUUACCAACCCGAUGCAAACUACGAAUACCGAAGAAUGUUAUCACGGGAGACACACGGCGGGUGCUAACGUCCGUCGUGAAGAGGGAAACAACCCAGACCGCCAGCUAAGGUCCCAAAGUCAUGGUUAAGUGGGAAACGAUGUGGGAAGGCACAGACAGCCAGGAUGUUGGCUUAGAAGCAGCCAUCAUUUAAAGAAAGCGUAAUAGCUCACUGGUCGAGUCGGCCUGCGCGGAAGAUGUAACGGGGCUAAACCAUGCACCGAAGCUGCGGCAGCGACACUAUGUGUUGUUGGGUAGGGGAGCGUUCUGUAAGCCUGCGAAGGUGUGCUGUGAGGCAUGCUGGAGGUAUCAGAAGUGCGAAUGCUGACAUAAGUAACGAUAAAGCGGGUGAAAAGCCCGCUCGCCGGAAGACCAAGGGUUCCUGUCCAACGUUAAUCGGGGCAGGGUGAGUCGACCCCUAAGGCGAGGCCGAAAGGCGUAGUCGAUGGGAAACAGGUUAAUAUUCCUGUACUUGGUGUUACUGCGAAGGGGGGACGGAGAAGGCUAUGUUAGCCGGGCGACGGUUGUCCCGGUUUAAGCAUGUAGGCUGGUUAUCCAGGCAAAUCCGGAUAAUCAAGGCUGAGGUGUGAUGACGAGGCACUACGGUGCUGAAGUAACAAAUGCCCUGCUUCCAGGAAAAGCCUCUAAGCAUCAGGUAACAUCAAAUCGUACCCCAAACCGACACAGGUGGUCAGGUAGAGAAUACCAAGGCGCUUGAGAGAACUCGGGUGAAGGAACUAGGCAAAAUGGUGCCGUAACUUCGGGAGAAGGCACGCUGGUGUGUAGGUGAAGUCCCUGCGGAUGGAGCUGAGACCAGUCGAAGAUACCAGCUGGCUGCAACUGUUUAUUAAAAACACAGCACUGUGCAAACACGAAAGUGGACGUAUACGGUGUGACGCCUGCCCGGUGCCGGAAGGUUAAUUGAUGGGGUUAUCCGUAAGGAGAAGCUCUUGAUCGAAGCCCCGGUAAACGGCGGCCGUAACUAUAACGGUCCUAAGGUAGCGAAAUUCCUUGUCGGGUAAGUUCCGACCUGCACGAAUGGCGUAAUGAUGGCCAGGCUGUCUCCACCCGAGACUCAGUGAAAUUGAACUCGCUGUGAAGAUGCAGUGUACCCGCGGCAAGACGGAAAGACCCCGUGAACCUUUACUAUAGCUUGACACUGAACAUUGAGCCUUGAUGUGUAGGAUAGGUGGGAGGCUUUGAAGCGUGGACGCCAGUCUGCGUGGAGCCAACCUUGAAAUACCACCCUUUAAUGUUUGAUGUUCUAACGUUGGCCCCUGACCGGGGUUGCGGACAGUGUCUGGUGGGUAGUUUGACUGGGGCGGUCUCCUCC